GAUUUAUUGUGUUAAUCCCCUCCUACUAAAUCAGUGACUGUAUAUUAUCAUAUUAUAAUAAUAACUAUAUGCAACGGCGUAACAUUACAUAAUAAAAUAUUAGCUCAAAACAUUUCAAUCGAUAUCAUAUUAUCAUUCAUUGCCGACCUCUGGAUAAAAUCAAAAGUAAUUUCAUCAAAAUAUAUAACUUAUACACAAUAAUACGACGGCGCACUGCAGUACCUAUCCUGCACAAACGUCCAUCGCGUACAAUAAUACCAUAAUAUUAUAUUAGGUAUAAUAUUCGUGUAACCGUGUAUACGUUAAUAUAUUACCAAUUUUAAUAACGAAUCAUAUCAUAAUGUCGGCGCGGAAAAACGUGUUACCGGCCUUGUUCGUCAUGCUGCUGAUAAUGUCACCCGUCACCCCAACCAGUAUCUUCAUUUCUGCCGUAUGCUACAGCGGUUGCGGAUCCUUAGCUUUCGUUUGCUACGUGUCCAACGGCAUAUCCAUCGGCAUAGAUUACUUCAAGUCCUCUGCUCCUCUACCACCGCCUGAAAUAUCAUGCGGAGAAGCGUUCGAUGAGUGCAGGGACCACUGCCUAGCGACAUUUACGUUGUCGCCCUAAAGCUCAAGCCGCUGCCAGGAAACGGCAUACCUGCUGCUGCUACACUAGAAGACUAAAUUGUUAUUUAAUAUGAUCACAAAUAGUUAAUUAGUGUAUAAUAUUAUUGUAAAUAUUAUUAUAUACGCACUGGCAAUAAUAAUUUGUA